rnacentral:sRNA from 1 species
AUCUACCAGUCGUACACUCCGGUUCCUCCGCGCCGUCCGCACCCACCCGACGACCGCUCGCUAUGUGUUGUUAGCC